rnacentral:rRNA from 1 species
UACGGAGGAUCCGAGCGUUGUCCGGAAUUACUGGGCGUAAAGGGCGCGCAGGCUGUAGAUCAAGUCAGCUGUGAAAUGUCUGGGCUUAACCCGGGCAUGCGGUUGAAACUGAUGUACUGGAGUGCUGUAGAGGCAAGUGGAAUUCCCAGUGUAGCGGUGAAAUGCGUAGAUAUUGGAAAGAACACCGGUGGCGAAGGCGACUUGCUGGGCAGCAACUGACGCUGAGGCGCGAAAGCCAGGGGGAGCAAACGGGGAUUA